CACAUCUGUGCUCAACAGUUCAGGGAGCGUCUCGGUCCAGCGGGUCAUUCCUCUGAGCGCCACAUGCUCCACAACAUGAGGACGCAUCUUCCCCCCAUCGUCCGCUUGACAGACGCAGUAAUAAACAAAGCACAAGGAAAACAUCUGGAAUGCUGAAUGGACAUCGUCAUCCUUCAGUGUGUAACACUCGCGCAGUGCUCCUCGCGCCACGCCUACUUCUCCUCUGACCCGCUGCAUCAGACAAACAGGAAACAGAUCACUGGCAGUGAGGGAUGCCCUUCCCCCGGCAUGGAGAGAGGACCCCUGAGGAGACCCUGAGGAGACCCCAUUCAUGCAGUGGGCCGCAUGUCAGAGGGCAAAUGGUGGCCGGAGUGAUGACAUCAUGCGGAUAUGCAAAUCUACCAACAGCCAGACGGCUCGGCCAAUGAGCGAAUUGGGAUUCCGUGGGAGAUUCUUCUCUAUAUUCUGCAACAGUUGACACCCGAGGGCCCAGAGGUCGAUCCAGCGUACGACCUCGCUGCCGCAGAACGGAUCCGUCCAGCCUCCGGUCCACCUGCCGCUCUAAUCCUCCUCUCUCUCCUCACUCGCU